rnacentral:rRNA from 1 species
UACGUAGGGACCAAGCGUUGUUCGGAUUUACUGGGCGUAAAGGGCGCGUAGGCGGCAAUUCAAGUCAUCUGUGAAAUCUCCGGGCUUAACUCGGAACGGUCAGAUGAUACUGCUUUGCUCGAGUGCGGAAGGGGCAAUCGGAAUUCUUGGUGUAGCGGUGAAAUGCGUAGAUAUCGAGAGGAACACCUGAGGUGAAGGCGGGUUGCUGGGCCGACACUGACGCUGAAGCGCGAAAGCCAGGGGAGCAAACGGG